AGCGAACGCUGGCGGCAGGCCUAACACAUGCAAGUCGAGCGGCCGUAGCAAUACGGCAGCGGCAGACGGGAGAGUAACACGUGGGAACGCGCCCUUCGGUUCGGGGUAACUCAGGGAAACUUGGGCUAAUACCGGAUACGCCCUUACGGGGAAAGAUUUAUUGCCGAAGGAACGGCCCGCGUCCGAUUAGCCUGUUGGUGAGGUAACGGCUCACCAAGGCGACGAUCGGUAGCUGGUCUGAGAGGAUGACCAGCCUCACUGGGACUGAGACACGGCCCAGACUCCUACGGGAGGCAGCAGUGGGGAAUAUUGGACAAUGGGCGCAAGCCUGAUCCAGCCAUGCCGCGUGGGUGAUGAAGGCCCUAGGGUUGUAAAGCCCUUUCAGCGGGGAAGAUAAUGACGGUACCCGCAGAAGAAGCCCCGGCUAACUUCGUGCCAGCCGCCACCGUAAUAC
rnacentral:rRNA from 1 species